CCCGCCACUUAGUACUCUUACUGAGUGGAAAGUGGCGUCAUCUGUUAGCAAAAAAAAAAAACCAUGCCCACCACGGCCUGGCCAAUAUUUAUCAAGUGGAGAAUGGAAUUCAAUCAGACAGUUUCGAAUUCCUUCCAAAUGACUUUUUUGGAAGUAUGGUACCCGAGUCUUCCAAGUGGACCGCGUGAUAAAACAGUCGCUUAUCACUUUUAUGAUCCGGAUUCGGUUCCGGGUCUCACAUGCCAGUUUUACAGAAGAGUCCGGACUUGGCCCCUUGAAUCCUAAUUUUAUGUUAAGCCGUCAUAUCACACUUGGGAUAUUCUAUCCUGGUAGCAGCUACUAUAGUCCACCAUUGGUUGGCCAACAUCCGUAGUGCAAACGGAAUAUAACCCUUGAACUUCGCGAAAUUCAAUGGACUGAUCCUAGACAUCUUCCUGAAAAACGAUAUGUGGGACCCGGAUUUGAAUCCGGUUCUUCCAAAAUGAUAAGCCAAUGUUUUACCACGCAGGCAUCUGAUCGAGAAUCCCAUUUUUCAAGUUGCUAAUUGACUUCAUCAUGGAUGUUGGCCGGUCUGUGAUAGGCUCUAAAAGUGACUUCCUUCAGGUACAGAAUAUUCCAUGUGAAAUGAGGC
rnacentral:lncRNA from 1 species